GACGAACGCUGGCGGCGUGCCUAAUACAUGCAAGUCGAGCGAAGUUUUUCUGGUGCUUGCACUAGAAAAACUUAGCGGCGAACGGGUGAGUAACACGUAAAGAACCUGCCUCAUAGACUGGGACAACUAUUGGAAACGAUAGCUAAUACCGGAUAACAGUAUUUCUCGCAUGAGAGAUAUUUAAAAGUUGGUUAUGCUAAUACUAUGAGAUGGCUUUGCGGUGCAUUAGCUAGUUGGUGGGGUAAAGGCCCACCAAGGCGACGAUGCAUAGCCGACCUGAGAGGGUGAUCGGCCACACUGGGACUGAGACACGGCCCAGACUCCUACGGGAGGCAGCAGUAGGGAAUCUUCCGCAAUGGGCGAAAGCCUGACGGAGCAACGCCGCGUGAGUGAAGAAGGAUUUCGGUUCGUAAAGCUCUGUUGUUAGGGAAGAAUGGAUAUGUAGUAACUAUACAUGUAAGAGACGGUACCUAACCAGAAAGCCACGGCUAACUACGUG
rnacentral:rRNA from 1 species